GCGGCGCACGGUCCAGCGAACCCUGUUUUGUCGGCUUAUAUUCUGCACGACGUGUAGAUUAAAAACCCCGCCGCGGGUCGCUGAGAUGCUGCCCGCUCGGUGCGUAAAGCUGCGACUUGGUGUUGGGUGAGGCUGCAAAGUUUCCAGGCAGAGCUCCAGAGCAGGGCGGCUGCUUCACAGGAAUUAAGGACCGAGAGGCUGCGACGUGACGGGAGGACCGAAGCCUCAGGUGCUGUGAGUGAGCUGACAGGAAGAUCUCACCGCUCAGAGCUUCUGUAGCGUCUGAUUAGUAUUUUUGGCCUUUCUUUUCCCUCAGUUUUGUCUGAUAGGAUGUGAUGUGAGAAAGGAGGAGAAGAAUCAGCAAACCCAAACCAAAACCGCUGAAAUGGAGCAAAGUCUGAGCAUCAAGAAGUGAAGAAGCUGCCGUCUGAGGGAAGAAUGUGAGAGACGAGGAACACUUGUGAAGGCUGAAAUAAGGAGGCAGCAGCUCCCCGGAUUAGCUGCAGAGAUGUGAGGGCUCCAACAGCGUCCAGACGGAGGACCACAAGCGUCUGCUGAAUGCUUCCCAAAGAACCGAACCGGAGGAGCGUGUCGAAGUCCUCGAGGCUGAGAGGAGGCCGCUGCACCACAGAAAGGACGGAGAUGGUUCAUUUCACAGGAAUCCAGACGGAGCCGAAGGAAGCAGCAGCAGGACGGAGCGAUGCAGCAGAGCUUCAGUGUGUUCUGCUGCUGGAGCGUCUCGCUUAGAGCAGCGAGUGGAGGAAGAGCAGCCUCAUGAUGGAAACAGUCCGACGGUGGAGGCUGGAGGGUCAGAGGGCGACGAGGAGGAGUCGCUUAAAGAGUCUUCAUUCACUGACCUGACGGCCUCAUGACACACCAGAGCGACUGUAAUCACUCCUCUGCUCUGGGAAAGUCGCAUCUUCUGAAAGCUCCAACGUGUCCGACUUGGUGCUAAAAAGUCUGAGUGUUGCAGCAAAACACACAUUUAAAAUAAACACAAUUUUAAAAAUGCAUGCAAGAUACACUGAUGUUGAGACUUAGAAGAAGAAAAAAUGUCAAAUAAAGUUGAAUGUGUGGAGUUGAAGAAGCUCAAAAACAUCAUGUUCAGACUCAGCAUUAAUACAACAGUGUGCAUCGAUCUUUUUGUGUUGUGUUCAAUCAGUUACAGGAGUUAGCGUCUCCUCUUCAGUCAGACGUAUUCAUGGCUGCUUCAUGAGUCUGUAGCAUAAAGUGAAGUUGAUUCCUUGUAAAACUAAGUUGGUCCAACGAGUGUUUCUACAUUAUUUAUGAGGAUUUUUGUGCUGAAUUAUCAUAAGUAUGAAUAAAGGUUCUUAAAUUGACCAAAAAAAAUAAGUUGCUCCAAAUGGAUUAGAUCAGUUUUUUGGGUUUUUCAUGUUUUAGGUCAUCGCUUCUCAGUACAGAACCCCAGAAGGGACAUAAAGAAAGAAAGAAAGAAAGAAAACAGCAACUUUCUCGGAUCUUGUAAAAGUUGUAUCAAUCUUAUUGGACAUUUUGUGAAAACUGUGUCUCUCCCUAAGCGCUGCUAGAAUGUCUUUACAUUUUAUUUCAAAAUAAAACUCAAUAAAACUCUCGUGAUCCAUUGUCGUUUCUCCAUAUUGCCAAAAACACCAAGAAGUAUAUCUACUGAUAGUUUUCUUCUUCUUCUGUUUUAUUUAAUGAUGUAUACUGUUUAGUGAUGUUGCACUGCAGUCACUGAUUGAGAAACGACAUUUUGUUCUUGUGUAUGAAAAUGCAGCGUGAAAAUGACAAUAA